GUUGAACGCUGGCGCCAUGCCUUACACAUGCAAGUCGAACGGUAACAGGUUAAGCUGACGAGUGGCGAACGGGUGAGUAAUGUAUCGGAACGUGCCCAGUCGUGGGGGAUAACUGCUCGAAAGAGCAGCUAAUACCGCAUACGACCUGAGGGUGAAAGCGGGGGAUCGCAAGACCUCGCGCGAUUGGAGCGGCCGAUAUCAGAUUAGGUAGUUGGUGAGGUAAAGGCUCACCAAGCCGACGAUCUGUAGCUGGUCUGAGAGGACGACCAGCCACACUGGGACUGAGACACGGCCCAGACUCCUACGGGAGGCAGCAGUGGGGAAUUUUGGACAAUGGGCGCAAGCCUGAUCCAGCCAUGCCGCGUGCGGGAAGAAGGCCUUCGGGUUGUAAACCGCUUUUGUCAGGGAAGAAAAGGUUCUGGCUAAUACCUGGGACUCAUGACGGUACCUGAAGAAUAAGCACCGGCUAACUACGUGCCAGCAGCCGCAGUAA
rnacentral:rRNA from 1 species